UAUACAUGUAGCAAUAUUAUUUCUUUUAAAUCAUUGCACUGUAGUAAUAAAUAUAUAGAAUUUGUAACAAGUCAUACAUUCAUUUUGAAAAUUUUGUCACAUAAUAUAUCUGACGGUUUUAGAGGCAAUCAUCACACUCAUAUGGAAAGCUAACGAUGUCGUCAAUAUGCACACAAGAAAAGUCAACACCAGAGCAUUUUGCAUGAUAAAAGGAGGAGCAAAUCUCGCAACAUAUAUAAACAUCGUCUGUUUCAAGUAAACACUUGGAACAAAGCCUGGAAGUAGUCGAUUUCUCCGAAUU
rnacentral:lncRNA from 1 species